GUGGUCGCCCUCCGUCGUGGCCUGGCGUGGAUUCCGAGCGUUGGUGUCUGGCGGUUUCCGACCGUUGGUGUCUGGCACGCGCCACCCCGAUGUACCAGGUAAAGCCCUAUCACGGGGUCGGCGCCCCUCUCCGUGUGGAGCCCACCUGCAUGUACUGGCUCCCCAACAGGCACGGCAGGAGCGGCGGCCCAGCACUCGGCACUGGCCACUUGCAGACAAGAAGACAAGAAAAUGAUUUGAGGACAGCUUCAAUCGCGGUGUGAAGAAGAAAGCAGCAAAACGACCACUGAAAACAACGCCGGUGGCAAAACAUCCAAAGAAAGGGUCCCAAGCGGUACAUCGUCAUAGCUGGAAACAGUCAGAGCCACCAGCCAAUGAUCUUUUCAAUGCUGCGAAAGCUGCCGAAAGUGACAUGCAGUGUGGCCAUGAGCUCUGCCGGAAGUAACUUGUUGGUGUUAUCUCCUGAGUUAAAAUGUGAAGGGAUUUUUUUUUUUCAGAUGACUGAGAGUCUUCAGUUACUAGAGGCGGAUUUCCCUGACUGAAGACCAUGUUGCAGGCCCACAGCUGCCUACAGGCCCUCUGGGCAACCGUCCCAAAAUAUGGCAAAGAAACCUAUUCUGAGAGAUAGGGUCUCACCAUGUUGCCCAGGCUGGUCUUGAACUCCUGGACUCAUCCUAAAGUGCUGGCCUCUCAUUCCCUGUCUGUGCACACCUCACGGCAAGGGCCAGCCCGUUUCCUCCCGGUCACCUCCAAAUCUUGCUGCUUUUAAUUCAACUCAGAGCCCUAGCCAGGGUUGAGUUCUCACCCACCUGUGCCGCCCUGCCUUGUUA
rnacentral:sRNA from 1 species